rnacentral:tRNA from 1 species
CAUUAGAUGACUGAAAGAAAGUAAUGGUCUCUUAAACCAAUUUAUAGUAAUUAACGUCUACUUCUAAUGA